UCUCCCUCUCUCUCUCUUUUAAAAAAUCAGCCAUUUGGGGUUUUAAGCCAUAAACGAUUUUUCUUGUUGCAGGGGAUUGCAGUGGCAAAGCUAGGCUAGGUCUUGGAGGCUGGUGUAAGGCGAAGCGGUUGAAGGCAGGAGGCUGAUGGAGAGACUGGGGGGAAGAAAAGCCGAAAUGGAUUCACGGUGCUUUGGAUGGAGGAUGAGAGGGGAAUUGCAAGCUCCUUCAACUCGUUCUGUCCGGUGAGAAGUGAUCAAGCUUGGGCUGACAAGAGGCUCAGGGAGCCCUCACGUUCUUUCGCUUUUUUACCUGCCAAUCAAACUGCUACAAGACAACACCCUGAUCUGACAUGGACAUCGCGGGUCCAAGCCUGUAGCCCCAAAUCGGAUAAUCUCUGCAGCUGAUAACAAGCAAAAGAGAAGCCAGGCAACAGCCAUAUUAAAGAAGAAAACAAUCAACUCUGAGGAUACAGACAGGCUUGCAGAAGUAACUAGACGUCCGACACACGCCAAAGUCUUGCGGGCCCAGGAUUUCAAACAAAAGAAAACUCGGGUAAAGUUGACUUUAAAUCAAGGGCGCUUGAGACCGUAGACACGCGCACCCAGCGGGUUAAUUGGGAGAGGGAAGAGAGAAGCUCCUCCUGCAGUCUGUAUGAGUCACGGGAAGAAAGAGAGCCAGAGCUGGAGCAGGCGGGUGGGAGCCCAGCGGGCCUGCACUGCGCGCGGUCCCUGGUUCGGGGGCGGUGUGGUGCCGGGCGGGGGCGGGGCGCAACCUGGGAACCGCGGACCCGACUGCGGCCCGCGCCUUGCCCACCCUUUCGGGCGUCUUGCUUCUUUAUUGCCUGCAAGCCGUCCUGAACGUUGAAGGCGCUAUUAUCGACCAUUUGUCAGCCCGAAUUUGUCGCUAGCAAUAACUUUUGGUGGCGUUUCACUCUCAGGCACUUGAGUUUUCGGAUGAGGAAACUGGUGGUGGGCGAGCACUGUCCUGUGUUCUGCUUCUCAUUUCCACGUGGCCCAGGCAGGCAGAAGAAGGAGAAGGAACUUUAAUCCGACUGCAGUGACUCCAGCACACAAGCCAUGGGUAUCCAGGGGAGAAAACUGGUUUCAUGUCCUACAAAACUCUCCCCUUCUCCCGAGGUCCUUCAUAAAAGGGUCCCUCAUCUCCAUCUCCCACCCCUCCCACCCCCAAAUGUGUGUUCUUGGGCCCACAAGUCAUUUCGGCAACCUGGGACUAAGUUAUGGUUUUUUUGUUUGUUUUGCUUGCCUCUUCCUUUGCGUUUGUGGGUGCGGAUGUCUCUCAAACACCCAGAGCCAAGGCCUUCACUCUAAACUUGAACCCUUCACCUUUGUGUCCCUCUUCUUCCCUUCUUCUGGGACUGGUGGGUGCGGUGGCCAAGAGGCGGCCUUUCCUGAGGAUGGAGCAGCUGGGGCAGCUGCGAUGGAGCAGCUGCUGUGCCUCGCCCCUCUUUUCUCAAUCAUUAAAAUUCAAUUUCAAAAUUUCUGUCUUGAACAAUUUCCUAAGGAGCCUAUGAAGGAUGCCAAAAGAGUGGGCCCCUUUUCAAGCGGUCGUGUCUCAGCAGAAGGCAGCCACUGGCCAAGUUGCCCUAGGCUGUGCCCUUCUGGAGCAGUGCAGUGGACAGUGUCUAAAACAGAGGGCUGUGCCCACCUGGACUGAGGGAAGAGGUCUGGCAAAGUCUUAAGGCAGGUCAAGAAGAUGGGGAAGGCAGCCAGCUUUUCCGUCAUCCACACUGUCGCUGGAGCACAGCCUGCUUGGUCCUGGGGGUGGAGCUCAGAACCAAGUGGGAAGUUCUCACUCUUUAAUCUCACAAUUCCUCACUUAAUUUCUUCACCAGCCUCUCAUCCUUGAUUCAAAAAAAAUGUUUGUAUAUCUGAAAGUUCCCUUCUGCUAAGGAGUUUCCCUUAACAGCUCUUUCUCCUUUGGGUGAAGUCUGCUUCUGGGAAAAGGGGAGAAGGCUAAAGUGUUUUGAGAAACAAAAUGAUAGAUGCACACACAUAAUGUGGUGUAGGUAGCCGAACUUCAUCAGGAGCCUCGAGUAGCCAAGCAAACAUUCUUCUGACCCAACCUCAGAGUCUUUUUUCACUCCCUGCUCCAAAACAUUAACAUGUAACUAGUACCCAAAAUGCUUUCCUUAACUAACACUCAUUGGAACCUAUGGAAAGGAUAUAACAUUUCUUUGAAAUUCUAGAUGGGAGUUAAGGACUACCUGACUCCUAUUGCCUUCACCUCUUAAUCAUACAUAACUGUCUUCCUAAUUUACCAGCCUCCUUCCCUAUAAAAACCCCUCAGCAUACCUCGUACUUUUUCUCUACCCCUUACUCUUUUUCCCUCUGGGGCCCUGAGCCAGAUUCUCAGAAUUAAAUCAUGAUCUUCUCCCAAAUGCCAUAACAAGUUAGAAGGGGAGUUUGGGGAUUGCAAUGAAAAUACAUGAUAUAGAAAGUAAAUUUUAUAGUUGGAUGCAGUUGACAAGUGGCAGUUUGGGGUAUCAGCAAUGAAUUCCCCAUUUUUCUACAGGCCUCUUUUUACUUCAUUUUUGGAAUCCACUGAUCCUAAUAAAAACAAGUUAAAACUGAACUAAAUUAGAGAAAUAUUAAAGAAAGACCAGAUUAAGCCCUUUCUGGACUGGCAGCCAUCAAGUCUUACAUAGCUCAUGGUUAUUUGGAUAGACUUUCGUACCACUGGAAGCUUGGGCUAACACCAAAAGCCCUGCUUCUCAGUAUUUAAUUAUAAACCUGGCAGAGUGCAGACUCUGUACCAAUUAAAAGAAAAUCAAUCAGUGCCUGUUAGCCAUAACAAAUCAAUAAAAACAAUUAGCUGGAGAAAUAAUAUUAACAACAUACCUUUGUUACCAAAGUUUCUGAGAAUUUUGAAGCUUCCUACAGCACAUAUUAUCAUAUUGUUUCACUACCUGAUUUUGUGGAACUUCUGCUUGUGUGGUACCUAAAGUUGUUUCCUGGAAGGGUAACUUGAAUGAGUUUUACAAUCAUUUUAUACCAUAGCUCCAGAAUAACUCUGUCUUCAAGGCUCUGAAUAGGUCUACUGCUAUGGGCUUUUAAUAUCCUUUCUGCCAGUGAGGAGGCCACAGAUUGUAGUGGAGAACUUACUAGACUAGAAGUGCUGAGCAAGCUCUAAGUUCCAGUUGAGGCAUGUAACUAACAAUGUGUAAGGAAGGAAGUUUAUGUUCCUGGCUUCAUAUUUUGCAUACGUAAAGGAAAGAGAUAGGACCAGAUAAUCUCUUAAAUCCCUCCCAGUCCCUGAAUUCUGUAGUUCUAUAACAAACUGGUGAAUUUUCAACAUAAGAGAAGACCCAGGUCUAUGGAUCUUCUAAAUAUCUAUUUCAUUGUCGUUUUAGUAGAAAUUUAUGCAGAAAACUGACAAAUGAUUUUUGGUCUUUUCCUGGGAGAGAUCCUAGCUUUGACUUGAGGGAACCAAACUAAGAGACUUGGCACUCUUUUCUUACAUACAAAUGAACCAGUGUCUUAUGCUUCAACUUCUUUUCCUUUUCAGAUCCAACUUAGAAAUAAUGUUUCACUCAAGAUAAGGUUUGUAGUUUAGGAGAUUCUGGUCUGGCUUGCCUCACUUUAAGACUUCUAUCAUCUCUUUUCAAAACCUGAGGAGGACCUCAUUUCCUGUUUGAUAGUUCUUCAUGCUUUGCCAGCCUCCGGGUCUUUAAGGAAGCUUGCCAAGAGCUCCCGUCUGGGAAGGACAGUCUGAGUUCAUCAUAGAGAAUGAGCUGGCACCACAGUUGUAGUGACUCACCAACCUCAUUGCCCCCUUUGCAAUGGCAAGAACCACACUAUCUAAUUGAAAGACCUGUGUUUUAGCAAAGUGCACUUGGAUCACAUGGCAAAAUCAACUCAAAAUACAUCUCCAGUCUUUCCUUUCACUGGAUGUUUUAACACAAGACAAGAAAGGAAAUUAUAUUCUGAAUUAUAUUUUCGGUUCUUUUUUUAAAAAUUAAGAUUAAUUAACAGAUACUUGGUUUUAUGUCCAUUCUGUUCUAAGAAUUUAGUGGUGAUUACAAAGCAAUGAAAAUAGGUCACAGCAAAAUGAACAUUCAAGAUUAGGUUAAAACAUUCCUCUGAAAUUUCAGUAUCCAUUUUUGGAGUGUCAGUUACUACAUUUCUGUAAUUCAUCAUUUUUUCUUUCUUGGCUUAGAGUCAAGAUGAGAAAUGAUAUUUAGACCAAAGACAUUGUUUUGUUACGUACCCACCGCUUUUUAAAAUGCAAACCCACCCUCUCCUCACCAAUGCUUAAUCAUUUGUGUGUGCUUAUGUUCACACACAGACACACCCACACAUGCAGAGUUGCGGGAGAAAGUCCUUUCAAGACUUCCAGGACCUGGGUCAUGUAAGAGGCAGAUGAGAAAAUUAAAGGAGGGCCAGAGCAAUAGCAACACUAAGAGUCCAUUAUUUCACUUUACAAAAAGUCAUUAAACAGUACACAGGCAUUUUUUUUAAAGCAAGUAUUAUUAUAAUUAAAUAAUAUCAUACUUCUAAAUUAUUAUGAUUCUUAUCUAAUUUCAAGUCACAUAUAGGAGCCAUUUAAAAGUAUUUUGCAUUACAAUCUGUCACCAAAAAUCAACUAGUAGAGUUUUAUAAUGUGCAUAGGUUUACCCCAUGGGGAAUUAAAUUUUAAUUCAUGAGUCUUUCCAUUGUUGUGGAACUUUAGGACAAGAUAGCAUUUGGUAUUAACAUAGAAGAAUAUUCUAUGGCUUUUUUUUCACUUUAAAUUGCUCUGAAAGAAACUGCACCUUGAUUUUUUUCCUCCUAGUAUUCUUUUGUUAUGUUAGAGUGUUUUCACGACAUUGUUUUUAAUGUAAACAUUAUUUUAUUAAGUCAUUUGGUAAAACAAUUUUAAAACUAUAUAAUAAUGGCCCCUUGUUUUUCUCCUUUUAUUAUUUCAAGUCAAGCAAAAAUGGACACUUUUCUCUCAGGAAAAAAAGUAUCGAGUAUGUUUUUGACCCAAAAAUGAUUAUUUAGUUACAGUAUUUUUCCCCUACUAAAUUAGCAUUUAUGGGAGAUCUUAUUUCAAAGCUGAUUAUUCUCAAAGAAAAGCAGAGAGAUAUAAGAAUUUCCAAGUAAAUUAGGUUGCUUAAAACAUAUUUUAAUACAUUAUUCAAAUUGUUGUCAGAUAUUCGUUUAAAAAAAAAAAAAAAAAGCAGUAUCUGUUCCAAAUGUGAAUUUGGUUUUUGAAAGACCUUACAAAUUCCAAUUUCUUUAGGACAGCAGAGGAGAUUAAAGUCAUAGACAAUUUAGAGCUACUUCAGUUUUUUUUUUUUUUUAACUUUAACUGUGAUAGGCAUUUCUGCAAGGUAGGUUUUAACAUAUUUUUUUCCUAAUUUUUUUUUUUCCUUCUUUCAGUAAGAAGGAUAAGCUUUUAGAGUACCCAGUCACCGUGGUAACUGCCAAAAAAAUUCUCCUGAAGUUUGAAGAGGUCAGCUAGCAGGGUCAACAACUCUGGCCUCUCUCUGAGCUCGGUCUAGCAUGCCCCAGCCUGCAGUUGGAGUGUCAGGCCAGAUCUGACCCUGGGAGGUGGACUAUUCCGGCUCUGAUAUAAAUUUUUUGAGUCAGUUCAUGGCCUGGACUCUCCAGGUGGCCUCCAAAAUCGAUUUUGACCCCCUGACCUUGUCUCAUGGAGGCAUAGCAUCCACCCUAAGUAAGGAUUUAGCCAGGAGUGACAGCUUUCCACUGAGUGUUAUUGGGGACAGUAUAAACAGUUUGGAAAGCAAGUAAGGAGGUGUGAGUGCUAGAAAUCAUUAAAAGCACAUUAAAAAACAAUUAAAAUUUUUUUCUUUGCUUAAAAAGAAGUUUAAAAUGUGUAUUUCUUAUAUAAUUCCUAUGUGAUUUGUAAGAUUUUUUAAAUCAAAGAAGAGGUUUGAAUAUAAAUACUCAAGAAACCACACAUCUUCAUCCUUUUAUAUAGUUUGUUACAAAUAUGCAAGUAAGAUAGCCUGACUUGCAACAAAAUAGGUACAGCAGGGAUGUUACAAGUAGGGAAAAGGGAAGCUAGUUGUUAAAAUACAUUAAUAGGUAAAGAAUUUCAAGUAUUUUAUUUUUUUCAAGUAUUUUAAAUAUUACAUUUCAUGUGCUUGUGUCUUGAACUGUUUAAAAUGUGAAAAUAUGGAACCUUAAAAAGAAACAACCACCACCUGAAUGAAGAUAAACUUGCGCUUCACUUUAAGUGCCUUGCUACUUUGUAAAACAAAUAGCCAAUACAUUCAUUUGGAUAUAAAUGAGAUAAAAAUUAUCAGUAGGGAAAGACAGAUCUUAUAGAGCUAAAGAGGAGAAAACAAUAAAUUAGUAGUGUCUCUGAAUUAACUUUAAGUGUUUUCAAUAGUUUAAGAUAUCAGAAGCUUGGAAAAUAAUGUUUGUAAAUCAUCAGUGAUUCUUUUUCCUUCUUCUUCUUCUUUUUUUUUUUUCCCCAGGAUGCCACCCUGAAAGUUUUAUUUUCUCCAGGAAAGUAGAGUUCUCUUUGAGAGCUCUAGCCUGUGAACUCAGUAUGUAAAUGUGGUCAUCAAGCAAGAUGGAACUGCGAAUAGGGAAGAUUUUGAGUGUUUCUCUUUCUUAAAAUCCUUCACAAUAUUCCUUUUUCCACUGGUACUUUGCUCAAAGUUUCCCCCAUUUCCCAGCUCUGAUGAAAUGGCUCUAAAGCAACCCUGCAGUAGCUAAACUGAUUGUACUGUGAAGUUGUUGAGAUGGCAUUUCAUCUGAAUCCUUUGUAAAAAUUAGAUUUUAAGUAGGGGUGAAUGUCUUUUUGGGGAGAGGGGACAAGGGAGAGUGGAAGAAGAGGGGGAGGGGACUGAGCAGUUUAUAUACAUAUAUACUCUUUGUGUUUGAAGGCCUCUGUGUCUUGGCUUCUCACUAUGUUAAAUCCCUAUUAUAAAACUUAUCUUCACAAAGCCUAUUAUAGUAUUCUGAGAACAAAUUGGACCAUGAAUAACUUAGUUGGAAGUGCAGAUUAUUUUCUACUCAGGGAAAGUUAGAGAUGACAACAGUUUAGCUAAAAGAAUAGUGAUUAAUCUUAAAUAGAUGGAUUUCAAAGUUUCACUCUUGAUGAAGAAUACCUUUUAUAUUUCCCCUCUUCAGACUCAUGUUUCCACUUUCUUUGUAUUAAGAAUUGUCCUAGUGAUUACAUUGUCCACCUAAUACAGCAUGGCUCUAACUGUAGAUCCUUUUCUUACAGGUUGUUAAUCUGUAAUCUGAGAGGUGACCAGAAAGACACUCUACUUCCUAUUGGUUAAAUGUAUGUUUUUGAAGUGGUACCCAUGCUUAGACAUCAAACUCACUGUUAGGAAUAUGUUGCAUAAAUCAUAAUUUCUCAACUAGAUAAAAUUAUUACUUCAAAACAUCUUAGGGGCUUCCCUGGUGACGCAGUGGUUGAGAGUCCGCCUGCCGAUGCA